AGAUAGAGGUAUAGCAUUCUGGGUGGUGUCUAGAGCUUUAUUGGCAAAGAAGGAAUUCCUGUUAAACCAUGACACUGCUCAGUAAGACUUCACUGACCCUCUGAUUAAGAAACUCACCAACUAUUCAGUACAAUAUCAUAUUGCUACAAAGUGAUCUAGAGAUAAACAACUGUCAACUUUCCAGAGUGGUGGAUGUGCCUUGGACAUGAGCUCAGUUCUCCAGAAGACUGCAGAAACGGUGUGCCAGGCAGGCACCUUGACCUUACAGAGAGAUCACUGACAACUCUGAGUUAUGUUGAAAUUCAACAAUCACAGGCAAUACUUAAAGCGGGGCUGUGCCUUUCCAGUUUUCAGGAGGGGAAGCGGCAGGGUGCUGUCAAUUAUAUAACAAGUGAUCCUGGGCACAUUUGUACAGAAAAAGGCUUUUGGUGA
rnacentral:lncRNA from 1 species